UCCCUUGCUAGAAAUUUUUUCAUGUGACUUGUGACUCUCAGAUCUCUUAACAGCCUAGAAGGAGAUACUCUGAGCAGACAAGAAUAGACAUUUGCCUGCUGAUAUAACGGAAACACAAUAUUCCAAUCUACGCAAGUCUUACCGUACGGGCAUUAUCCACUUCCGUUGCCCCCUCAUCGAAGAAGCAGUAUCAUACCAUCACAAAUUCGAUCAAACAGACCCGCAGAAGCCUUCAUGUUCCAGGUGCUGAGCCUCUUAUUUAUUCCAUCGAUCACGCUGCCCCUUUAGCCCGCAACUAUUAUAAGCUAGAACAAAAUUGUCUCCUCUUCGAGCCUCCUUUCCAUUCUUUCAAGACCAUCGUGUGAAGGUCCUCUCUGCAAUAUUCAACUUUGACUAACUUCCUUCACUCUCACGACGCAAUGUGUGAAUGGGCCUGCAAGACAUACGCAGCUUGUACGCGUAUUCCCAAGCAUAUGAAUUGAGAUCACAUUAUCUUUUGUACACUCGCAAGAAGCGAUGCAAAUGACCCAUGCCAACCUGCCACUAGGUUUCUGAGAGAUCUCCUGUUGAUUCUCAAUGUGCAAGACAUAAAUAUAGCGGGUUCCUGUCCUCCCUGUGCUGGAACAACACUGACUAAUUCCUCUGACUAGAUCGGUUGCCUUCCCCCCAAUCCAGAGAAGCAGAUCGCUGGUGAACCUGCUUGCGAGCUAACUCUCCGAGAUCCUUAAAUGUACUAAAUAUAGUUAGCUUAGUUGGGUCAUAGAAGUGGUAACGCACAAUGAAUCAAUUCCUGAGACUUGAAAGACUUCAAGGUCUAACUUGUUAAGAUCGACAUUUGGAUGUGUUUUGCAGUAGAGAUCGAGAACAAGAUAUAACCGAGAAGAAGGAGGAUUACUACAUAUAUGUGUAUAGUAGUCUUCUAGAGGUUGAAUAUCUCGCCAGGUAAAGAAAGCUGUG
rnacentral:sRNA from 1 species